AUAAAGAUUAAGGCCAUGGAAUUGGCCGCAUCUGAGGAGACUUUGAGUUCAUCCUUGGAAGAUUCUAUUCACUUAAGUAAGGAAUUGGAAUGAGAGGUUUCAAAGAUCAAUGAUGAAGUGGUGGCGACAUUUGAUGCCUAUUUUGGGCAUGCCAAGGAACAAGUGUCCUUCUUCUACCAUACGCUACGAAACAAGAGAUAUAUGUAUUUAAAUCAUAAACCUAAAAUACUUUUUACAUUUUUCUCUUAACGAAACUACAAAGAACCUACAUGAUGU
rnacentral:lncRNA from 1 species